rnacentral:lncRNA from 1 species
GUGAUGGCAUCUUGGCGGUCGGAAAAGACGGUAAAACUGAUAACGCGAUGAGUACGGAAUUGCCCUCGCACCAUUUACAGCCGAGAGUCGCAAAACGAAUUGCAGUAACUGUAACUAAAGCCUCUGUUACCAGAGCGCUAUCAGCGGGCACUACUACAAUGCUGCUAUCCAAAAAAAAAAAGCAAGACCAUUGCACAAGAUCAUCAACCUUUAACAGCAUAAUACUUCUUUCUUUGAAUAGUCCAGUGAUCUGAUUUAACUAAAUCCAGAAGCAAUUAUAUCUAUGAGAUGGUUGUAUUGAAGCUCAUAGAUAUCAGAGUAAUCAGCUAACUGUUGUUUGAUCCAACAGAUGGUUCAGGUUCCAACUGGUAAGACCGAAACAGAGGAAGAAUGUAGCUUCAUGAGUCUGCUAAAAAAGAACAUAGAUUUCCAAUACUGAGCGUGUUGCGUUUGAUUCAACACAUUUAAAUAUCAACAACAAAUGCAGCAGAACAUUCAGUGCUUCCAAUCACACGCUUACAAUUGG